GCCUGAUCCAGCCAUGCCGCGUGAGUGAUGAAGGCCCUAGGGUUGUAAAGCUCUUUUGUGCGGGAAGAUAAUGACGGUACCGCAAGAAUAAGCCCCGGCUAACUUCGUGCCAGCAGCCGCGGUAAUACGAAGGGGGCUAGCGUUGCUCGGAAUCACUGGGCGUAAAGGGUGCGUAAGCGGGUUUCUAAGUCAGAGGUGAAAUCCUGGAGCUCAACUCCAGAACUGCCUUUGAUACUGGAAGUCUUGAGUAUGGGAGAGGUGAGUGGAACUGCGAGUGUAGAGGUGAAAUUCAUAUAUAUUCGCAAGAACACCAGUGGCGAAGGCGGCUCAGUGGCCCAUUACUGACGCUGAGGCACGAAAGCGUGGGGAGCAAACAGGAUUAAAUACCCUGGUAGUCCACGCCAUAAACGAUGAAGGCCAGCCGUUAGUGGGUUUACUCACUAGUGGCGCAGCUAACGCUUUAAGCAUUCCGCCUGGGGAGUACGGUCGCAAGAUUAAAACUCAAAGGAAUUGACGGGGGCCCGCACAAGCGGUGGAGCAUGUGGUUUAAUUCGACGCAGCACGCAGAACCUUACCAGCCCUUGACAUGUCUAUGACCGGUACCAGAUAUGGAACCUUCCCUUCGGGGCAUA
rnacentral:rRNA from 1 species